rnacentral:rRNA from 1 species
CCUACGGGGGGCAGCAGUAGGGAAUAUUGCUCAAUGGGGGAAACCCUGAAGCCUCCCCGCCGCUGUUAUUCUUCCUUUUUUCUUCUUUUCCCCUCCUUUUUUUCUCGAAGAUUAUGACGGUAUCUAACGAAUAAGCACCGGCUAACUCCGUGCCAGCAGCCGCGGUAAUACGGAGGGUGCAAGCGUUACUCGGAAUCACUGGGCGUAAAGAGUGCGUAGGCGGGGUAAUAAGUCAGAUGUGAAAUCCUGUAGCUUAACUACAGAACUGCAUUUGAAACUGUUACUCUGGAGUGUGGGAGAGGUAGGUGGAAUUCUUGGUGUAGGGGUAAAAUCCGUAGAGAUCAAGAGGAAUACUCAUUGCGAAGGCGACCUGCUGGAACAUUACUGACGCGGAUGCACGAAAGCGUGGGGAGCAAACAGGAUUAGAUACCCCGGUAGUC